CAACAACAGACUCGGUGAAAUUGUAAUUCCGGUGAAGAUGCCGGAUACCUGCGACAGGACGGAAAGACCCCAUGGAGCUUUACUGUAGCUUGACAUUGGGUCUUGGUACUACAUGUACAGGAUAGGUGGGAGGCUUUGAAACCAGGACGCCAGUUUUGGCGGAGCCAUCCUUGGGAUACCACCCUUGUAGUACUGGGACUCUAACCAUAGGCCAUGAAUCUGGUCUUGGGACACUGUCAGGUGGGCAGUUUGACUGGGGCGGUCGCCUCCCAAAAGGUAACGGAGGCGCUCAAAGGUUCUCUCAGUACGGUCGGAAAUCGUACGUAGAGUGUAAAGGCAAAAGAGAGCUUGAUUGCAAGACAUACAGGUCGAGCAAGGAUGAAAAUCGGACUUAGUGAUCCGGUGGUUCUGCGUGGAAGGGCCAUCGCUCAACGGAUAAAAGCUACCCUGGGGAUAACAGGCUUAUCUCCCCCAAGAGUCCACAUCGACGGGGAGGUUUGGCACCUCGAUGUCGGCUCAUCACAUCCUGGGGCUGUAGUAGGUCCCAAGGGUUGGGCUGUUCGCCCAUUAAAGUGGUACGCGAGCUGGGUUCAGAACGUCGUG
rnacentral:rRNA from 1 species